AAUGUUGCAAUCCUAAAAAUGGAAUCCAUCGGCUUCUUUAAAUAAAGACAGGGUGUGAUUGACAGUUCUUUUUGAUUCAGAUCUUCAGGUGUUUACAAGAUGCCAAACAUUGUCUGUGUCUGUGACUCUGUCUGUCUGUCCAUCUAUCCAUCCGUCCGCCCGUCCGUCCGUCCAUCCAUCCAUCCAUCCAUCCAUCCAUUUAUGUAACUGUCCAUAUCACCAAAAUGAUUCUGAUCCCUUACAACAAAACUAAAAAAACCGGAAUAAAUACUACAAAUCACUAAUUGAUUAUAAAAACAUUUUAAAAACUAUAAAAACAAACAAGGAAAGAACAAAUGAAAUUUAUAAUAAUGGAGGCAUCUCACAAGUUUAUGAUUAAUUAUCUGGGAAAAUCAGGAACGGUAAUGUCAUGAAAGGAUACAUGGAUGUAGAAAAUUACUUUUAGAGACAUUUUAGAGCUAUUCCACAUGUAGGAUGAUCACUGUGACAGGAGUGUCUUUUUUCAUAUUACCUCUUCUCACGUAGAAAAUACAAUUUUAAAUGCCUGAGGUUGGCUAGGUAGAUAUUAUAUUAAAGGUAACUAACUAAUUAUAAAUAUUAACAUCACAAGAAGGUAUUCAGGGAUUAAAUUAAAUUGAAAUAUAUUUCAUUAUUAAGAUACAUUUAGACCUAUGUAUUGCCAAGAAUUGGUAUCAUUGUUACUAACAGACUUUUUUUUAAUAGAAAACUGACUGUUUUCCUGUGCACUGCUUGAAGAGUCCAAGCCUAGAGUAUAUUAAGAUGGAGCUCAUUGAAAUAGUCCCUGAACGGGCAGACUGAGUAAAAAAUCUAGCGUUAACGCGCCCCAGGAGGCGUGGUCAAGGAAAAGAUUCCUCAGUCCCAGGGCAACCAGACUGAUUUAACUGCUUGAACUCUCCCACAGUGCACAGAAAAGGACCCUUCAGGAAAUAAAAGGGGAGACCCAAAAGCUUUUGGUAUGGCCCCUAGAGAUCUCCAAACAAAUUGUUAACAGAUUACAAACUUUCAGUGUAUCAGAAGCGGGAGCAUCAUUGAAUAUGUGAUUGGAAGGAGUUGAGAAGGCAUUUCUAAAUAAUACACCUUCUAUGGUUUUGCAAUAUGCUUCAUGUUCAAAGCCAUGAAUAUGGGUCAUUGUAAAAAGGACCAAAAUGAAACUAUGUAAAAAGCUCUAUCUUGUCCUGAGCUUAACCCAUUGGGUAUGACGGGUGUGUUGGAAUAAAGUGAAUUUCCCCGAUUAGUUAUAAUAUGAAUUCAUGCCAAUUAACACUGAUGAAAAUCAGCCAGAAGAAGCUGAGAUAGAUUGUCCAACACGUCAACACAUUCCUUCAAAGGUUCCUCAGAAAAAGAACAUUUUCUAUUCAUUCUUUGGUAAUUGCCGACAAAGUCUUCCUGCUUUCCAAUAUAUCAGAAAGACGGAGAGAAUUACUCCUGUAAAUUAUAUAAUAAGAUUUUACUUAUAUCUUGUGGGUGACUGCCUGGAGUAUUACAGUGUACUUGAUGGAUUUUCAUUAAAUACAGAAUUUAACACAUUAAUAUAAUAAAUGAUUUUAAUAUUAUUAUCUUGGGAUCUUGCAAAAGCAGACAGUUGUUAAGCAAUAAUUAUAAUUUCUGCUAUUUGUUCAUAGCAUUUCUGAUCCACUGACUACAAUAGAAACAUGAGAAUAAGCAUUUAAAAAAAACACUAUAAAGGUGUCUAUUAAUGAUGUGACGUUAACUGUCUCAUAUUGACAGGGGACAAGUACAACUGUACAUAGUUGACAUGGUGAAUCUAUAGAAUGUCAGUUUGUACAUAUUUGUGUGGGUGGGUGUUUAUGUGCGUGCAUGUGUUACCCUCAAACAGAUGCCAAAUAUUUGCUUUAAUAGAGUGAAUGCCAAGUUGCAUUUCAUGAUACACUUGCAU